UAAGAGAUGCCUGAGGAAACCUGUUU
rnacentral:piRNA from 1 species